rnacentral:siRNA from 1 species
UUAACGGACUCGGGCCGACCCUA